AAGAAAAGACUCUCCAAGAACUUAUGGAAUCCCUACACUCCCUCACACAACAAGUAUCCCUCCUUUCCUCGACGAUUCUAUCCAAACUUCCACCUGUAAGUACGCCUUCCAAGCCCGCAGCCUCAGAGCGACCCUACCUCCUGUACAAAGAACCUCGUGUCUCCGCCCAUGUAUCGACUACCGUGGUCUCAAUGAUAUCACCAUGAAGAAUAAAUAUCCGCUUUCCCUCAUUGACCCCUCUGUGAUGCCCAGAUAUUCACCAAAUUGGAUCUACGAAACGCCUACCACCUCAUCCGUAUCCGAGUGGGGGACGAAUGGAAGACAGCCUUCAAUACCCCUCUCGGACACUUAUCUGGUCAUGCCAUUCGGUUUAACCAACGCCCCUGGCGUUUUCCAAAGAUUUAUUACUGACGUCCUCCGUGACAUGCUCAACCGGUUUGUGUUUGUCCCUUGAUGACAUCGUCAUUUUCUCCCGCUCACCCGAAGAACACCGCCUCCAUGUACGCCCAGUCAUUCAGUGUCUUGCUUUGGUUACCAACGGCCAUUAUUCAAAGAACCGGAGCAGACAGUGGCAGUCCCCACAGUCAAGGAUCAUCUCCAGAGAAUCCAGGCAGUGUGGAAAGAUGUCCGAGCAGCGUUGACCCGGUCCGCAAUAAACAGCUCGCGGACCGUCAUCACUCCCCGACGCCCGAAUACAAGGUGGGCCAAUCUGUCAGGCUUUCUUCUCAUGACCUCCUGCUUCAAACUGAAUCCCGUAAACUCACUACCCGUUUCAUUGGCCCUUUCCCAAUUACCAAAAUCAUCAAUCCCACUUUCGUCCAGUUGAAGCUUCCACAGUCCUUAAAGAUUCACCCAACCUUCCACGUCUCGUUGCUCAAGUCUGUCUCCACCUGCGCCCUAAACCCUCCGGCCAAACCCCCUCCACCCCCUCGGAUUAUUGACGACCAUUCGGCCUUCACGGUGUCACGCAUUCUCGACGUGAGGCCUUGGGGGAGGGGAUUCCAGUACUGGUCGACCAGGAAGGGUACGGGUCGGAGGAGCGGUAUUGGAUUUCCCAGAAGCCCAUCCAUACAUCAAUUUUCAACACCGCUUAUCCUGGUUAGGGUCGCGGGACGCUGGAGCCUAUCCCAGCUGACUUCGGGCGAAAGGCGGACUACACCCUGAACUGGUCGCCAGUCAGUCGCAGGGCACAUAUAGACACGGACAACCAUUCGCACUCACAUUCACACCGUCACUGAGUGGGAACUGAACCCAUGCUGCCUGCACCAAAGUCAGGCGAGUGUACCACUACACCAUCAGUGACUUUCCCGGAAGAUUACACUCAAUCAUACGCUUUUGGGCGACUUCGAUGCGGCUCACCCGGGGAAGCCUGGCAGGACGCCGUUGAGAGGGGGGGUACUGUCAUAUACUGCCCUGCAGUUCCAUUAUUGCAUCCUCUCUCUCUUCCCCCUCACCUCUCUAUUUUCAGCACCUCUCUCCAAUCAGCCUCAUCAUCAGUAUAUAAGUCUACCUGUUCCAGGAAAUCCUCGCCUUCCAGCGGUACCACGGCCCAUUUACCUCACGGAUCAGGGCAGGGGAGGGCUGGCACAUAACUGGAACCCAGCUCAUUUGGGGUGAAAGGUGCUUAAUAUUGGAGGGGGAAUGCGGUGGAAAUGGAAGAAUCAAGCCUUAGCCAGUGUUAGCAGAUCCACCUCCCUGUGUGAUACUGAAGGCAAAGACUGCUGUUAACUAGGGAGACACCCUCCCAUACAGAUACAGUAGAUUCCCUGUAUGCUGAGCCUUCAGGCUUCAGAUAGCCAAUAAAGAACCCUUACUGGGAGAUAAGGCUUUGGAUCCCCUUGGCUCUACAGUUUGAUCAAUCUGCAGAUUUACAGCCAGCCCUGCAGCACACUGAUGAAGCUCUCCAGUCUUCCUUACGUACUUUCCUCGUCUUGCUGACUACACCAGCCACACCGCCAAGCUGCCUCACCUGCUCCCGUUCCCGCUUUCUGGUCGCUCCUUGUUGCCGACGAUCCACCACCUCGCCUUGGAUAUCCUUACCCAGAGCCAACCUGCAACCAACCAUUCUAAAUCUACACCCUCUGCCUCACUCUGCUCUUGGGUCCAAUCCAUCUCCCAUCUGACUUUGUAUCGUGACAAUUCACAGUGGUUACUUUUACACUUUACUACUAAGAAUGAUAAAAAUCAUACUUGUGUAAAAAUUGCUUUUGUCGUUAAUAACCAUUUUAUGACAGCAACAGGUUGACCUCGUCACCAAUUUGUCUUUCUAUUAUAUCAUAUAGUAAACAAUGUUUAAACAUCCAAACCAAUAGGACUUGUGUCCCAAAAUGGGUAAUG